UAGUCAUCAUGUCAUCUUAGGCCCCUCUUUGCUGUGACAGUUGGAGUUCAGUUUUUGACACCCACUUGGUAAAAGGAGAUGAUGGACUUGCAUGAGUCAGGGAGUUAGACCUGGAACCCAAGCCAGGACCCUCAAAAGGAAACUAUUGGAGAAUGUACUCCACCAAAGUGAAGGUGUACACAUGGCAAGACGACAACCUGGGAUCCGGGAAGCGGAGGUGAGAACACAGGAGGCGGAGGGAAGCUUGGGGUGAUGGUGAGGGGGACUGCACCACAGCAGUGCUGCAGGCUGGGGAACAGCCCAGGAUGCAGCCAGAGGGCACAGCGCUCCAGAAAAGAAGCUUCCCCCAAAACCAGUCAUUCAUAGAUUCAGUCAUAUGUUUCAUAGCUCUGUCGGAGUUUGGGAAAGGAUGAAUAAUGGCUUGAGAGAAAUCUAAGCAAAUCAAUAACAGAGGCAAUUUUUAACUCCAAAAAGAAAUUUGUACCAAAAUA
rnacentral:lncRNA from 10 species